rnacentral:rRNA from 1 species
AUACGGAGGAUCCGAGCGUUAUCCGGAUUUAUUGGGUUUAAAGGGUGCGUAGGUGGUUUGAUAAGUCAGCGGUGAAAGUUUGCAGCUUAACUGUAAAAAUGCCGUUGAAACUGUCGGACUUGAGUGUAAAUGAGGUAGGCGGAAUGCGUGGUGUAGCGGUGAAAUGCUUAGAUAUCACGAGGAACUCCGAUUGCGCAGGCAGCUUACUAAACCACUACUGACGCUCAUGCACGAAGGCGUGGGGAUC